AUGCCCUGGAACAUUUCUGCAUUACACCUAGCGAAAGCAUUUUUGAUUCUACUAGGCCUGGAUGAAGAAGUGGUUCCCGGAGCCGAGGUCGACCGUGACGCUCUGCGAGACGGAGGUGUUGAGCGAGGGGUGGCUGACGGUGACCUUGUAGUCGCCGUGCGCGACCUCGGCCUGGAAGUAGCCCUGCUCGUCGGUGGUGCCGGUCUGCGCCGCCGUCCUCCACUCGGCGAGCAGCCGGUCCACCACGUCCCCCUGCGGCAGGUUCCUGAAGUUGUUGUCGGUGAGGCACAUGACGUAGCACCCCUGCGGCCGCCACGCGGACCAGAGGAUGACCCCCUGCACCGCCGGGUGCGCGUACGCCUCCCGCAGCACCUCCUCCAGGUGCUGCGCCUGCGACGGCCCGCCGGCCACGUCCACCUCCGUGAGCCACACGGGGAGCCCGAUCUGGGCCAGCGAGUCGAGCGCGGCGCGCAUGUAGGGGAUGUUGGGGGUGGUGAAGUGCCCCUCCAGCCCGAUGGCCAUGCCGGCGCCGUUCUCCGGGUAGGACGCGAUGAUCUGCCGCAGCCGGUCCACGUACCUCCCCGGCGCCGCCGCCAUGUCCCCGGGCUGCUCCAGCGUGUUGUAGUCGUUCAUGAACAUGAGCGCCGACCCGGCGUCCAGCAGCCGCGCCGCCGCGUAGAAGGCCGUGGACGCGUCCCACCCGAACUGGCGCUCGAAGAAGGAGUAGUGCAGGUUCUCGUUCACCACGUCCCACGCGAUCACCUGCCCGGCGUACCGCGACACGAAGGACCGGAUCCGCCGCGACGCCGCCGCCAGCAGCUCCGGGUAGGGGAGCGACUGCACCCACCGCGGCUGCUGCUUGGGGUCGUCCCAGAACACGUUGUGCCCGCGCACCCCGAUGCCGUGCUGCUUCGCCAGCGCCAGCAUCGCGUCCGGCACCGUGUAGUCCUCCCGCCCCGGCGCCGGCUCCGUGCUGUACCACUUCAUCUCGUUCUCGAACGUGGUCACCGUGAACCGGGACGUGAACCACUGCUGGUACCCCGGGUUGGUCAGGAUCUCGCGGCUCAUGGCCGCGCCCAGAGGGAAGCUGCUGCGCACGUUCUCCACCGACACCUCCGCGCCCUGCAGCGGGUUCCCGCCGGAGUCCUUGGCCUGGAGCCUCACCAUCUUCCUCCGCACGGCGCGGGUCGACUCCGUCCGGUGCGCCGCCCACUCCUCCUUGCUGAACGGCUUCAGCGAGACACUGUCCACCCAUAUGUCCACCGUCGCAUUGCUCUGCAUGCAUGCACCAACACGUUAAUCAACUCAAUGAUUUGCUCCUUUGCACGAACCAAGAAUGAAGAUGGAGCGUAA
rnacentral:rRNA from 1 species